CAGGAUGAACGCUGACAGAAUGCUUAACACAUGCAAGUCGAUUCAAUUUACCUUCGGGUAUUGAGGAUGGCGGACGGGUGAGUAACGCGUAAGGAACUUGCCUCUUGGUCUGGGACAACUGUUGGAAACGACAGCUAAUACCAGAUAUUAUGAGAUUCUCGCAUGGGAAACUUAUGAAAGCUAUAUGCGCCAAGAGAGAGCCUUGCGUUCCAUUAGCUAGUUGGUGGGGUAACGGCCCACCAAGGCGACGAUGGAUAGCCGGCCUGAGAGGGUGAACGGCCACAAGGGGACUGAGACACGGCCCUUACUCCUACGGGAGGCAGCAGUGGGGAAUAUUGGACAAUGGGCCACAAGCCUGAUCCAGCAAUUCUGUGUGCACGAUGAAGGUCUUCGGAUUGUAAAGUGCUUUCAGUUGGGAAGAAGAAAGUGACGGUACCAACAGAAGAAGCGACGGCUAAAUACGUGCCAGCAGCCGCGGUAAUACGUAUGUCGCAAGCGUUAUCCGGAUUUAUUGGGCGUAAAGCGCGUCUAGGCGGAAAAAUAAGUCUGAUGUUAAAAUGCGGGGCUCAACUCCGUAUUGCGUUGGAAACUGUUUUUCUAGAGUACUGGAGAGGUGGGCGGAACUACAAGUGUAGAGGUGAAAUUCGUAGAUAUUUGUAGGAAUGCCGAUGGAGAAGUCAGCUCACUGGACAGAUACUGACGCUAAAGCGCGAAAGCGUGGGGAGCAAACAGGAUUAGAUACCCUGGUAGUCCACGCUGUAAACGAUGUGGAUUUGGAGGUUGUGCCUUGGAGGCGUGGCUUCGGAAGCUAACGCGUUAAAUCGACGGCNUUGGGGAGUACGGCCGCAAGGUAAAAUCUCAAAUGAAUAGACGGGGGCCCGCACAAGCGGUGGAGCAUGUGGUUUAAUUCGAUGCAACGCGAAGAACUUUACUUACUCUUGACAUCCAGAGAACUUUCCAGAGAUGGAUUGGUGCCUUCGGGAACUCUGAGACAGGUGCUGCAUGGCUGUCGUCAGCUCGUGUGGUGAAAUGUUGGGUUAAGUCCCGCAACGAGCGCAACCCUUAUUGUAUGUUGCUACCAUUAAGUUGAGCACUCAUGCGAUACUGCCUGCGAUGAGCAGGAGGAAGGUGGGGAUGACGUCAAGUCAUCAUGCCCCUUAUACGCUGGGCUACACACGUGCUACAAUGGGCAGUACAGAGAGUUGCCAACCCGCGAGGGUGAGCUAAUCUCUUAAAGCUGUUCUUAGUUCGGAUUGUACUCUGCAACUCGAGUACAUGAAGUUGGAAUCGCUAGUAAUCGCAAAUCAGCAUGUUGCGGUGAAUACGUUCUCGGGUCUUGUACACACCGCCCGUCACACCACGAGAGUUGGUUGCACCUGAAGUAGCAGGCCUAACCGUAAGGAGGGAUGUUCCUAAGGUGUG
rnacentral:rRNA from 1 species